rnacentral:sRNA from 1 species
GGAUGUGAGGGCGAUCUGGCUGCGACAUCUGUGACCCCAUUGAUUGCCAGGGUUGAUUCGGCUGAUCUGGCUGGCCAGGCGGGUGUCCCCUUCCUCCAUCACUGCUCCAUGGGUCUCUCUCUCCUGAAGCUGUGUGCUCAGUCAAAGAGGACAACCUUCCCCAAUAGAGGAAGACCGGUCUUCGGUCAAGGGUAUAUGAGUAGCCGCGCUCCCCUGCUAGAACCUCCAAACAAGCUCUCAAGCCAGCAACUCCUGUCUCUUCCAUUCUCACACCCAGUUGGUCACU